rnacentral:rRNA from 1 species
CCUUUGUACACACCGCCCGUCGCUACUACCGAUUGAAUGGCUUAGUGAGGUCUCCGGAUUGGCUUCGGAAAGCCGGCAACGGCAUUCCUUAGCUGAGAAGCUGAUCAAACUUGGUCAUUUAGAGG